AUACGUAAUUACUGUAAGUCGCUUUGGAUAAAAGCGUCUGCCAAAUGGCUUGUU
rfam:Salmo salar isolate Sally breed double haploid chromosome ssa16, whole genome shotgun sequence.